CCUACGGGGUGCAGCAGUGAGGAAUAUUGGUCAAUGGGCGAGAGCCUGAACCAGCCAAGUCGCGUGAGGGAGUACUGCCCUAUGGGUUGUAAACCUCUUUUGUCGGGGAGCAAAAGCCGGACGUGUCCGGCUGUGAGAGUACCCGAAGAAAAAGCAUCGGCUAACUCCGUGCCAGCAGCCGCGGUAAUACGGAGGAUGCGGGCGUUAUCCGGAUUUAUUGGGGUUAAAGGGUGCGCAGGCGGAUUUUUAAGUCAGCGGUCAAAUCGUGGGGCUCAACCCCAUCCAGCCGUGGAAACUGGGGAUCUAGAGUGUGCGAGAGGUAUGCGGAAUGCGUGGUGUAGCGGUGAAAUGCAUAGAUAUCACGCAGAACCCCGAUUGCGAAGGCAGCAUACCGGUGCACAACUGACGCUCAGGCACGAAAGCGUGGGUAUCGAACAGGAUUAGAUACCCCUGUAGUC
rnacentral:rRNA from 1 species